rnacentral:rRNA from 1 species
GAUGAACGCUGGCGGCGUGCCUAACACAUGCAAGUCGAGCGAAGUGAGGACGGGUGAGUAACAAGUGGAAAACCUCCUAUAAAACUGGGAUAAGUUCGGGAAAACGGAGCUAAACCGGAAAAUUAUAGAAGGAUCCGCGAUGGAUUAGCUAGUGGGUAAGGUAACGGCUUACCAAGGCAACGAUGCAUAGCCGACCUGAGAGGGGGAUCGGCCACACUGGAACUGAGACACGGUCCAGACUCCUACGGGAGGCAGCAGUAGGGAAUCUUCCGCAAUGGGCGAAAGCCUGACGGAGCAACGCCGCGUGAGUGAUGAAGGUCUUCGGAUCGUAAAACUCUGUUAUUAGGGAAGCGGUACCUAAUCAGAAAGCCACGGCUAACUACGUGCCAGCAGCCGCGGUAAUUC